rnacentral:rRNA from 1 species
AGAGUUUGAUCCUGGCUCAGGACGAACGCUGGCGGCAUGCCUAAUACAUGCAAGUCGAGCGAACAGAUGAAGUGCUUGCACUUCCGACGUUAGCGGCGAACGGGUGAGUAACACGUAAGGAAUCUACCUAUAAGCGGGGGAUAACAUUCGGAAACGGGUGCUAAUACCGCAUAAUAUCUUCUUCCGCAUGGAAGAAGAUUGAAAGACGGCUCUGCUGUCACUUAUAGAUGACCUUGCGGUGCAUUAGUUAGUUGGUGGGGUAACGGCCUACCAAGACGAUGAUGCAUAGCCGACCUGAGAGGGUGAUCGGCCACAUUGGGACUGAGACACGGCCCAAACUCCUACGGGAGGCAGCAGUAGGGAAUCUUCCGCAAUGGGCGAAAGCCUGACGGAGCAAUGCCGCGUGAGUGAAGAAGGCCUUCGGGUCGUAAAACUCUGUUAUAAGAGAAGAACAAAUUGUAGAGUAACUGCUACAGUCUUGACGGUAUCUUAUCAGAAAGCCACGGCUAACUACGUGCCAGCAGCCGCGGUAAUACGUAGGUGGCAAGCGUUGUCCGGAUUUAUUGGGCGUAAAGGGAGCGCAGGUGGUUUCUUAAGUCUGAUGUGAAAGCCCACGGCUUAACCGUGGAGGGUCAUUGGAAACUGGGAAGCUUGAGUACAGAAGAGGAAUGUGGAACUCCAUGUGUAGCGGUGGAAUGCGUAGAUAUAUGGAAGAACACCAGUGGCGAAGGCGACAUUCUGGUCUGUUACUGACACUGAGGCUCGAAAGCGUGGGGAGCAAACAGGAUUAGAUACCCUGGUAGUCC